rnacentral:rRNA from 1 species
ACACGCAUGACACACUGCAUAUCAAUAAGCGGAGGAAAAGAAACUAACAAGGAUUCCCCUAGUAACGGCGAGUGAAGCGGGAAGAGCUCAAAUUUGAAAUCUUAAAGGGCUUCCCUUUACGAAUUGUAGUUUAAAGAAGUGUUUUCUGUUGGAGUUUUCGGUAAAAGUUCUUUGGAAUAGGACAUCAUAGAGGGUGAGAAUCCCGUAUUUGACCGUUACUUUCCAGCUGUGUGAUACACUUUCAAAGAGUCGGAUUGUUUGGGAAUGCAGUCCAAAAUGGGUGGUAAAUUUCAUCUAAAGCUAAAUAUUGGCGAGAGACCGAUAGCGAACAAGUACCGUGAGGGAAAGAUGAAAAGAACUUUGAAAAGAGAGUUAAACAGUACGUGAAAUUGUCAAAAGGGAAGCGUUUGACACCAGUGUUGUUUAGUUGAAAAUCAAUUCAAUAAUUUUUGAUUUUAAGUAGUAUUGACUUCAUCAGCUUGCUGCUUUCUUUUCAGGAAUUAUUGAAUGCACUUUUCAGUUAACAAGUCAACAUCAAUUUCUUUUGUUGUAAAAGGGUAAGAGGAAGGUGGCUUACGCUUCGGCGUAAGUGUUUAUAGCCUUUCACCUCUGCAAUCGGAGAGAUUGAGGACAGCAGCGUAGACUCUUCGGGGUUAGAUACACUUGUGCUAAGCUAUAGCCUUGUAUAGACAACUUGUUGACUAUGUUCAGUCAUUGUAGCUUACUCGCUUAGUGCUAUUUUACCUACGCUUAGGAUGUUGAGCGCAUGUCUCUCUCU